UACGUAGGGGGCAAGCGUUAUCCGGAUUUAUUGGGCGUAAAGGGAACGCAGGCGGUCUUUUAAGUCUGAUGUGAAAGCCUUCGGCUUAACCGGAGUAGUGCAUUGGAAACUGGGAGACUUGAGUGCAGAAGAGGAGAGUGGAACUCCAUGUGUAGCGGUGAAAUGCGUAGAUAUAUGGAAGAACACCAGUGGCGAAAGCGGCUCUCUGGUCUGUAACUGACGCUGAGGUUCGAAAGCGUGGGGAGCAAACAGG
rnacentral:rRNA from 1 species